GGUUGUGGCUCAGUGGUAGAGUGCUUACCUAGCAUGUGUGAAGCACUGGGUUCAAUCCCCAGCACCA
rnacentral:tRNA from 1 species